rnacentral:rRNA from 1 species
UACGUAGGGAGCAAGCGUUGUUCGGAUUUACUGGGCGUAAAGGGCGCGUAGGCGGCAAAUUAAGUCAGCUGUGAAAUCUCCGAGCUUAACUCGGAACGGUCAGCUGAUACUGAUCUGCUAGAGUGCGGAAGGGGCAAUCGGAAUUCUUGGUGUAGCGGUGAAAUGCGUAGAUAUCAAGAGGAACACCUGAGGUGAAGACGGGUUGCUGGGCCGACACUGACGCUGAGGCGCGAAAGCUAGGGGAGCGAACGGG